CGAUUCGGGGGGUACGGAUAUUGGGCGUAAGCGUCCGCAGGUGGCCAAUUAAGUCUGUCGUUAAAUCGUGGAGCUCAACUCCAUACAAGCGAUGGAAACUGAUUGGCUAGAGUACGGUAGGGGUAGCGGGAAUUCCAGGUGUAGCGGUGAAAUGCGUAGAUAUCUGGAAGAACACCAGCGACGAAAGUGCGCUACUGGGCCUGUACUGACACUCAUGGACGAAAGCCAGGGGAGCGAAAGGGAUUAGAUACCCCUGUAGUCCUGGCCGUAAACGAUGAACACUAGGUGUUGCGCGAAUCGACCCGUGCAGUGCCGUAGCCAACGCGUUAAGUGUUCCGCCUGGGGAGUACGCACGCAAGUGUGAAACUCAAAGGAAUUGACGGGGGCCCGCACAAGCGGUGGAGUAUGUGGUUUAACUCGAUGCAACGCGAAGAACCUUACCAAGGCUUGACAUCCCCCGAAUCUCUGGGAAACCGGAGAGUGCCUUCGGGAGCGGGGAGACAGGUGGUGCAUGGCUGUCGUCAGCUCGUGUCGUGAGAUGUUGGGUUAAGUCCCGCAACGAGCGCAACCCACGUCCUUAGUUGCCAUCAUUCAGUUGGGCACUUUAGGGAGACUGCCGGUGACAAACCGGAGGAAGGUGUGGACGACGUCAAGUCAUCAUGCCCCUUACGUCUUGGGCUACACACGUACUACAAUGCUACGGACAGACGGAGGCGAAGCCGCGAGGUGGAGCAAAACCCGAUAAACCGUGGCUCAGUUCAGAUUGCAGCUGCAACUCGCCUGCAUGAAGGCGGAAUCCGCUAGUAAUCCGCAGUCAGCAUACUGGCGGUGAAUACGUUCCCCGGGCCUUGUACACCUCCCGCCCAAUCC
rnacentral:rRNA from 1 species